GAUGAACGCUAGCGGGAGGCUUAAUACAUGCAAGUCGAACGGUAAGGUCUAGCUUGCUAGAUACACGAGUGGCGAACGGGUGAGUAACGCGUACACAAUCUACCUUUUAGUGGGGAAUAGCCUUGGGAAACUGAGAUUAAUACCCCAUAAUAUUGCGAUAAUUAAUUUGCAAUUAAAGCUCCGGCGCUAAAAGAUGAGUGUGCGUCCCAUUAGCUUGUUGGUAAGGUAACGGCUUACCAAGGCAACGAUGGGUAGGGGGCGUGAGAGCGUGAUCCCCCACACGGGUACUGAGACACGGACCCGACUCCUACGGGAGGCAGCAGUAAGGAAUAUUGGACAAUGGGCGAAAGCCUGAUCCAGCCAUCCCGCGUGCAGGAAGAAUGCCCUAUGGGUUGUAAACUGCUUUUGUUUAAGAAGAAUUGCUUGGAUUUAUCCGAGCUUGACGGUAUUUUACGAAUAAGCACCGGCUAACUCCG
rnacentral:rRNA from 1 species